ACCGGCAGCUCAAGUGGUGGCCAUUAUUAUUGGGCCUAAAGCGUUCGUAGCCGGUUUGAUAAGUCUCUGGUGAAAUCCCGCAGCUUAACUGUGGGACUUGCUGGAGAUACUAUCAGACUUGAGGUCGGGAGAGGUUAGGGGUACUCCCAGGGUAGCGGUGAAAUGGAAGAAUCCUGGGGGAGCCUCCUGUGGGGAAGGCGCCAAACUGGGACGAGACUGACGUUUAGUAUCGUAAGUCAGUGGUGCGAUCCA
rnacentral:rRNA from 1 species